CAAUCUCUGCCAUAUCUCAAUUAUAUUAAACCCAAAGAAAUCCAAGUGCAGAGCUCAGCCAUAUUGCGAAUGGAUCAAACUGCCACAAAACUCAGAUUUCAGCAACUCAAACCAGAGGCUUUGUGACCAGGGGGAUCAGCGCUGCUUUCCCAAGACAGGUUUAUAUGUGAUUAUGAUCUUCAGGCUUUGCCUAACCAGGUUGGCUGGCCGGUGCUGACGGGACGGAGCUGAGGCUAGCGAUAAAUUCCUAUGUUAGACUUCCGCUGUAGCAAUUACUCAUAUCAGUCUUUUGUUUUUCCAACUUAAGAUCUUCAUGUUAAAUUUCAAAUGAUAUACCUGACCGAGCUUAGACUCUUCACUACUAAAUUUAUGCCAAUGAAUGUCGGUUGUCAGAAGCAUGAAACAAAACUUGUGAUCCAAAGGGGCAUAGCCCGACUUUCUAUCCUAUUUCGGGUUUUUACAAGGUUGUUCCUUGUUUAUUUCUA